AUUGAACGCUGGCGGCAGGCCUAACACAUGCAAGUCGAGCGGAUGAAGGGAGCUUGCUCCUGGAUUCAGCGGCGGACGGGUGUGUAAUGCCUAUGAAUCUGCCUGGUCUUGCGGGAUAACGUCCGGAGACGGGCGCUAAUACUACAUACGACCUGAUGGGGAAACAUGGGGAGCUUCUGACCUCACGCUCGCUGAUGAACCUAGGUCGGAUUAGCUAGGUGGUGGGUUAAAGGCCUACCAAGGCGACGAUCCGUAACUGGUCUGAGAGGAUGAUCAGUCACACUGGAACUGAGACACGGUCCAGACUCCUACGGGAGGCAGCAGUGGGGAAGAUUGGACAAUGGGCGAAAGCCUGAUCCAGCGAUGCCGCGUGUGUGAAGAAGGUCUUCGGAUUGUAAAGCACUUUUAGUGGGGAGGAAGGGCAGUAAGUUAAAACAUGGCUGUUUUGACGUUACCGAAAGAAUAGGCCCCGGCUAACUUCGUG
rnacentral:rRNA from 1 species